UACAGAGGUGGCAAGCGUUGUUCGGAAUUACUGGGCGUAAAGGGCGCGUAGGCGGCCAUCUAAGUCAGACGUGAAAUCCCCCCGGCUUAACCUGGGAACUGCGUCUGAUACUGGACGGCUGGAGUUUGGGAGAGGGAUGUAGAAUUCCAGGUGUAGCGGUGAAAUGCGUAGAUAUCUGGAGGAAUACCGGUGGCGAAGGCGGCAUCCUGGACCAAUACUGACGCUGAGGCGCGAAAGCUAGGGGAGCAAACGGG
rnacentral:rRNA from 1 species